GAUCUCCUACGGGAGGCAGCAGUGGGGAAUAUUGCGCAAUGGGCGAAAGCCUGACGCAGCCAUGCCGCGUGUGUGAAGAAGGCCUUCGGGUUGUAAAGCACUUUCAGUGGGGAGGAAAGAGUUAGCGUUAAUAGCGCUGACGGUUGACGUUACCCACAGAAGAAGCACCGGCUAACUCCGUGCCAGCAGCCGCGGUAAUACGGAGGGUGCGAGCGUUAAUCGGAAUUACUGGGCGUAAAGCGCACGCAGGCGGUUUGUUAAGCUAGAUGUGAAAGCCCCGGGCUCAACCUGGGAUGGUCAUUUAGAACUGGCAGACUAGAGUCUUGGAGAGGGGAGUGGAAUUCCAGGUGUAGCGGUGAAAUGCGUAGAUAUCUGGAGGAACACCAGUGGCGAAAGCGACA
rnacentral:rRNA from 1 species